rnacentral:rRNA from 1 species
GGUUAAGCGAAUAAGCGUACACGGUGGAUGCCUAGGCAAUCAGAGGCGAUGAAGGACGUGCUAAUCUGCGAAAAGCGUCGGUAAGGUGAUAUGAACCGUUAUACCCGACGAUAUCCGAAUGGGGAAACCCAGUAUCCAAUGGAUACUAUCAUUAACUGAAUCCAUAGGUUAAUGAGGCGAACCGGGAGAACUGAAACAUCUCAGUACCCCGAGGAAAAGAAAUCAACCGAGAUUCCCCUAGUAGCGGCGAGCGAACGGGGAGCAGCCCAGAGUCUUAAUCAAUAGCAGUGUCAGGAGAACGGUCUGGAAAGUCCGGCAGUAAAGGGUGAUAGCCCCGUAUCUGAAGAUGCUGUUAUUGUGAACUCGACGAGUAGGGCGGGACACGUGUUAUCCUGUCUGAAUAUGGGGGGACCAUCCUCCAAGGCUAAAUACUCCUGAUUGACCGAUAGUGAACCAGUACCGUGAGGGAAAGGCGAAAAGAACCCCGGCGAGGGGAGUGAAAAAGAACCUGAAACCGUGUACGUACAAGCAGUAGGAGCCUCUUUAUGGGGUGACUGCGUACCUUUUGUAUAAUGGGUCAGCGACUUAUAUUCUGUAGCGAGGUUAACCGUAUAGGGGAGCCGUAGGGAAACCGAGUCUUAACUGGGCGAAUGAGUUGCAGGGUAUAGACCCGAAACCCGGUGAUCUAUCCAUGGGCAGGUUGAAGGUUGGGUAACACUAACUGGAGGACCGAACCGACUAAUGUUGAAAAAUUAGCGGAUGACUUGUGGAUGGGGGUGAAAGGCCAAUCAAACCGGGAGAUAGCUGGUUCUCCCCGAAAGCUAUUUAGGUAGCGCCUCGUGAAUUCAUCUUCGGGGGUAGAGCACUGUUUCGACUAGGGGGUCAUCCCGACUUACCAACUCGAUGCAAACUGCGAAUACCGAAGAAUGUUAUCACGGGAGACACACGGCGGGUGCUAACGUCCGUCGUGAAGAGGGAAACAACCCAGACCGCCAGCUAAGGUCCCAAAGUCAUGGUUAAGUGGGAAACGAAGUGGGAAGGCUCAGACAGCCAGGAUGUUGGCUUAGAAGCAGCCAUCAUUUAAAGAAAGCGUAAUAGCUCACUGGUCGAGUCGGCCCGCGCGGAAGAUGUAACGGGGCUAAACCAUGCACCGAAGCUGCGGCAGCGACACAUAGUGUUGUUGGGUAGGGGAGCGUUCUGUAAGCCUGCGAAGGUGUACUGUGAGGUAUGCUGGAGGUAUCAGAAGUGCGAAUGCUGACAUAAGUAACGAUAAUGCGGGUGAAAAACCCGCACGCCGGAAGACCAAGGGUUCCUGUCCAACGUUAAUCGGGGCAGGGUGAGUCGACCCCUAAGGCGAGGCUGAAAAGCGUAGUCGAUGGGAAACGGGUUAAUAUUCCCGUACUGGUGGUAACUGCGAUGGGGGAACGGAGAAGGCUAGGUUGUCCGGGCGACGGUCGUCCCGGUUCAAGCAGGUAGGCAGAGUGAUUAGGCAAAUCCGGUCACUUAAUGCUGAGAUGUGAUGACGAACCACCAAGGUGGUGAAGCAAUUGAUGCCCCGCUUCCAGGAAAAGCCUCUAAGCUUCAGGUUACCAACAAUCGUACCCCAAACCGACACAGGUGGUCAGGUAGAGAAUACUCAGGCGCUUGAGAGAACUCGGGUGAAGGAACUAGGCAAAAUGGUGCCGUAACUUCGGGAGAAGGCACGCUGGCGGUAGGUAAAGUCCCUCGCGGACGGCGCUGAAGCCAGUCGAAGAUACCAGCUGGCUGCAACUGUUUAUUAAAAACACAGCACUGUGCAAACACGAAAGUGGACGUAUACGGUGUGACGCCUGCCCGGUGCUGGAAGGUUAAUUGAUGGGGUUAGCGCAAGCGAAGCUCCUGAUCGAAGCCCCAGUAAACGGCGGCCGUAACUAUAACGGUCCUAAGGUAGCGAAAUUCCUUGUCGGGUAAGUUCCGACCUGCACGAAUGGCGUAAUGAUGGCCAGGCUGUCUCCACCCGAGACUCAGUGAAAUUGAACUCGCUGUGAAGAUGCAGUGUACCCGCGGCAAGACGGAAAGACCCCGUGAACCUUUACUAUAGCUUGACACUGAACAUUGAGCCUUGAUGUGUAGGAUAGGUGGGAGGCUUUGAAGUGUGGACGCCAGUCUGCAUGGAGCCAACCUUGAAAUACCACCCUUUAACGUUUGAUGUUCUAACCUAGGCCCAUAAACUGGGUCGGGGACCGUGUCUGGUGGGUAGUUUGACUGGGGCGGUCUCCUCCUAAAGAGUAACGGAGGAGCACGAAGGUUGGCUAAGCAUGGUCGGACAUCAUGCGGUUAGUGCAAAGGCAUAAGCCAGCUUGACUGCGAGAGUGACGGCUCGAGCAGGUACGAAAGUAGGUCUUAGUGAUCCGGUGGUUCUGAAUGGAAGGGCCAUCGCUCAACGGAUAAAAGGUACUCCGGGGAUAACAGGCUGAUACCGCCCAAGAGUUCAUAUCGACGGCGGUGUUUGGCACCUCGAUGUCGGCUCAUCACAUCCUGGGGCUGAAGUAGGUCCCAAGGGUAUGGCUGUUCGCCAUUUAAAGUGGUACGCGAGCUGGGUUUAGAACGUCGUGAGACAGUUCGGUCCCUAUCUGCCGUGGGCGUUGGAAGAUUGAGAGGGGUUGCUCCUAGUACGAGAGGACCGGAGUGAACGCACCACUGGUGUUCGGGUUGUCAUGCCAAUGGCAUUGCCCGGUAGCUAAGUGCGGAAGAGAUAACCGCUGAAAGCAUCUAAGCGGGAAACUUGCCUCGAGAUGAGUCUUCCCUGUCGCUUUAAGCGACCUAAAGGAACGUUUAAGACUAAGACGUUGAUAGGCUGGGUGUGUAAGCGUAGCGAUACGUUGAGCUAACCAGUACUAAUGAACCGUGAGGCUUAACCUG